rnacentral:lncRNA from 1 species
GAUGUCUUACCGCAUGCUUUGUUUAUAGAAAGUCAGUUCAGGUGAGAAAAUAUGACUAAUGUGAAUGGUGUUGUCUGUCAUAUCAUUUUAACCACUGAGUGUUUUUAUGCAUCAUGUUUAAUUUCACUUGUUGCACUUAUGUAAUUGCAUUGCUAUAUAGAACUCUUUCUGUGAUGUAAUGGCACCCCUUGUGUGGAACGUAAAGAGCUACUAGAAUCCUUUUUGAUAAAUUUUGUGUAAAAAUGUAGGUUUCCAUAUUUAGCAGUAGUUAUUGGGCAGUGGCCGAACUACCGUGAUCGCAGCGGUCGCAGCUGCGACCGGACCUGUCACUCCAGGGGGCCUGGCCACCCUGCUUACCCCAGCGACUGCGGCACCCGCCGGCUAAGUAAGCUGGCCCGCGCAGUAUAACCACCGGGGCCGCAUUGAAGGGGCCUAUUGGGUUGCUGUUAGGGCCACCCGAUGGCAAUGUAUUUCCAGGUGGCCCGGUCAGUGCUGCGGCACUCUAUCAGCGCGACUGGGCCCCCUGAGCAGGGAGGAAGUGGGAACAUCAGCCUGAGCCCACCACUGGACCACAGGGAAGUCACCCCCAUGCAUCUAAAAGGUAGGAAAAAGGAGGGUGACUAUAUAUGUGUCUAUAUAUUUUUUUAUAUGUGUCUAUAUAUGUGUGUGUUUGAAUGUAUGUGUGUGUGUUUGUGUAGGUGUGUCUGUAUAAAUGUGUGUCUGUAUGAAUGUUUCGCUGUAUGUGUGUCUGUACCUAUGUGUGUGUAUGUCUGUGUGUGUGUGUGUGUGUUUGUAUGUCUGUCUGUGUGUGUCUGUGUGUGUGUGAGUCUGUAAGUAUGUGUCUGUAUGUGUGGGAGGGGACAUAUGGGAGGGGGAGGAUAGAAGUAUGGGGGUGUGGCAGGGUGGGAACGUAUGGGAGGUGGAGUAUAGACAUAUGGGGGAGUGGUGGAGGGGUAGACGUAUGGGGGGGGAGGGGCAGGGCAAUUUUUAGCACCGUGGCCCCGUGGUUUCUAGUUAUGCCUCUGUUAUUGGGUUCCCCCUUUAAAGCCUAUAAAAUAAAGUAGGACCAGCUACAGGAAGAAAUAGCUGCAAAAAUACAUCAACCAUGAGAUGUUGGAGUACAUCAAGUGUGGGAGUAAUUCAGAAAUUCAUUAAAAGGUGGGAUUUUAAUAAACAAAAAACCCCAUUAAACAUUAAACAUUAAACACUAUGUAUUAAUGUUACUGGGAAGAUUCACUAUGUUUCACAUCUACAUAAGGCCUUGCCUUCUCCCUCCUAACCAGCUCUACCAAUUGUAACAGAAAAUGACUUCCGAAAGCAAUGUUCUCUAAUCUGAUAAUUAAUACAUAUGGCACAGGAUGCAAAACUGUUUGAGAUUAAAACGUGAAAAAAACACAAACAAGUUAUGUCGAAAACAACUAGGAAUCCAACUCUGGUGAGCCAUUCAUUUACAAACGUAUUUUGACAAAAUAAUGACUAAUAGAAAGGAAAUUGCACAAAGUACGGGCUUUUCUGGAGAUAAUCCUGCAUCCUUCUUCAACCUCAAAAAUUUGCAUCUGCAUGUUAAAUGCACAUUUAAAAAAUCAUAAUAUCAUGAAAGCUAUCUAACUCCAAGAUAUGUAAAGUUAUUUCUCAGAAUCACUGGGGUCAUACAAACGUAUAGCGAAGAAAGGGAAAGGAAAAAUUAAUAGUCCAACAAGACAAUUGUCACCAUCCCUGAUGUCUCCCCUCAAACACCCAACAACUUCUCCAUUAACCCAGAAUGCCAGUCAUCCAGUCUCGGCAGUACCCUGGUGGGAUUUUAAGAUGGCCGCAUCGACUAUACAUUGGAUCGGAACCUUUUUAACCGGGUGCCAAUUGGAUGCCAUGUAAAUCAUGAGUGGGUGAGCUGUUCAGAGAUAUGCUGAAUGUGGGGGUUCUGGGAAUCCAUCACACGAUCUGGAGACAAGUCAAUGGGGGAUUGCCUCUUAUUAGACCAGAAAGAGUGGCGCCGGGGAGACAAAUGUCUUUGUUUUGCUGAAUGCCCUAUAUUAUUAAAAUGAUAAAUACUGGGUGUUUGUAUUAAUAAUGUGUAUUUUGUUUUCAUCCUUCAUCAAGCCUUGGCUGAUAUCUAAGGAAACUACUGUGUGUUAUGAUCACUCUGGACGAGCUAUAUAAAGGAGGGAGACUAGUGGAGAUACUUUGAGUACGAGAGCUCCGUUACAAGCAUUUAUCAUCCUAAUCUUUAACGUCUCAUCAGGAAUAAAAAAAACUACUACGACAAUUUAUAUUUAGGAAAAAAACACCAAUACCUGAAAACUCCAAGAUGCUAAUUUUCAUUAGAAUGAUUACAAUGGCACAAAGUCUGAUUUGUGAUAUUUCUCAAGAGACAGUAAUAUAUUUAUCAAUACAUAGAGCUUGAAACAGAAACAUAGUUAGCAGUCUACAAUAAAAGUGGAAGAUGAUUCCUUUAGAUAAUGGGACUAAACAGAAGUGGAAAAAAGAAACAGGUAAUAAAAAGAGUUGCGUAAGGUAGAAGAAGCAUGGCAACAGAUAAAAUGUGUUUGUGAAUCAGCAGGAUUCCAGUUUGUAGAAUGCAGGGGAUUUAUUGCUCUGUGUCUAUUCAAAUCUUCACAUUGGGAAUAAUCCAAUGUAAAUGUUUAUCUUUGAAUGUUUAUAGGAUGGAUAGAGGAGCUUCCUGAUACCAAGAUUUAGCUGGUCAGAAAAAACCUGAAAACGGAUAUCAGUGGACAUAGUGAGGGAUAAAACAAGGUACAGUAUUUCAGUAUCAAUUUUUACUUUUACUGCUCAGUUUACAAGGCAAAUCCAAGUAUAUGGUCACAGAUGUUCUGAACAUCUGCUGGGUUUUAGAUGAACCUCAAGAGUGGACCGUUGCCAGGAGGUGUGUGGCUGAGAAUGAUAGGAGGUGUAUUACAAGUGGAAUGGAACCCAAGAGCUCUGAAUAUUUUUAACCACUUGCUGAAACACCCUCGGUUGAUCUACUUUUAAAAAAAAUAAAUACUUUUAUGAGAUAAGUUUAAUCUCAUGGACACGGACACAAGCCAACACACAACACAAUGCCAAAUUUUAAAUUGAUCAUGAACACUUAAAGGGACAUUCUGAUUACCAUAAACCAUGAUUUUAGUGGUCAUGGAACAAAGAGGUCAUGGUACCUUCAACCAAAUCUAUGUAAGACUUUUUGGGAGCUAUUUGGUGUAAACUGGGGCUAUGUCCAGCCUGUGUCCUCUCACCCAUCAAACCAUCUCCAACGUGUAUGGCAGUGAUAAGCUGAGGGAACUAGGGACUGAUGCUACUUAAUUUUUGUAAGGUUAUCUAGCUUCAAAAAAACAGGGAUUUUCAAAAAAGGAAUUACAAUUGGAUGCUAUAAAUCUUUCAAGACAUUUAGAGGAUUAAUUAAUUAAUUUCUACCUGUUGAGCAAGGAUUACUUUACUUUCUUGAGAAUGUCUAACUUUCUCCAAACAGAGAUCUUAUAUCUUAUGCCAUCUUUCCCAGAUAGAAGCACUUCAGAAAAAUGUUUUAGGAAAUUCAAAAAAUCUAAAGAAGCCUUGUGAUUUCUAAAUCAUAAAUUAAAAACUAAGAAAUGUUUUGACAAUAUCUGACCUCUUGCUGUCUCGAGAUAUGUUCACUUUAUCAUUAAAGCACUUUAGCCAUCUAGGAAUGUAGCAAGGAAUAUAAUAUGUACCUGGUGAUCGCUUCCUCAAAUUGUGGAGGUUUAGAACAAUAAAGUUAAAAUAUCAUAACCAUUAUAGAACCCCAUGUCCACAAACCCCAAGUGAGUCCUUUUAGAAAUGCUUCAUAAUGGAGUCCAAACGGAGGUUAAUUUAUUUGUCAUGUUUUAUAGGGAGUAAAAUAGCAAUUUUAAUAAAUGCUUAAAAUGACCCAAACAAACAUGAGUGGCAGAGAUUAUAAAAAAAAUGAAAAUGUAGAUAGUUAAAAUGUUUAAUUUCUUAACAUAUUGUCUAGGAAACAAAAUGCAUCUUUGGGAUAAAAAUAAUUUUGCUAUAUUAACAUCUAAACAGGAAAGCAACUAUUAUAAUAGAACAAUAUAUAAAUUAUAUGAACAAAAGGCAUAUCAAAUGAUAGGAAAAAGAGACAAAAUGGUGUGAGAAAAUCACUCAGACUCUAGUUGACUGGUCCAAUGGGAUCACAGAUAUCACCUGAAUCCUGAAAUAUCUAAAAGCCACGAUAGACACUCACAAUUUGGGCAGCCUGAAACAUUCUCUUUUCUAUGUAACUAUUCACUGUGUUUACAAUUUACACCAAAUCAUGGCACUCUAGACAACAUAACUACUACAGCAAGCACAAAUGAGUCAUUAUCUCUCUCACCUUAUCCUGUUUUGUAUAUUGCAAUUUAGAGUGGUUGCUCUGUUAUAUGUUUUACAAUAUGUCUCACGUUGCUCUUUUUAUUUCCUAAAAUAUUGUUUUAAAUAAAUGAAAUACGUAAAAAUAAAAAAAUAUCACAGGAAAUGUUAAACAGUGCUCACAGUAUUAAAAUCUGUUUUUUUUUUUGGUUUUUUUUAAUUUCUGGAAAUUCAGGACUCUUAACAAAUGUCCAUCCUUUCUAACGGCAAAACAAGAAAAACCAGAUCCAGUUCUGACUGGCCAAGCCAUGUCCUCUCUACAUAAAGCUGAAAUUUCCACUGUACAUUUACGGUAACACGAACAGGAUGUCUGAUAGAAACUACCGGGAAAACCAGUUUUUCUUGAGAUCGUAUAACUGUGACCUUACUUCAUUACUUCCUCAGGAAAAGGAAAAUAAUUAUUUUGUAUUCAUUAAUUACCACAAUUUAAG